AGGGAGAGCAGAGGGAGAAAGACCUAGAGCAAGAGAGAGCAGCGGCCGCGAAGAGGAUGAGCUAAGCUGUGGCAGGAAGUCCACCAAAGGGUGGGAUGGGGCGCGAGCGGAGGGAUGGGUCGGCGGCAGUAGAGGAAGCGGCGGCCCUCGAGCUGGCCCUACGGACGAGUGCGAGUGCCUCCGGCUCCGCCGGCCCGACGAGACCAAGCGCGCCGGCGGAGCCGGAGCCUGACUCUCCCGCCCGCUUGCUGCCCUACUACCACCUCCGUCGGCUGGCUGCCUGCCUGAGCGGCGAGGAGCCCCGGUCGGGGAGGGGAGGGGGCGCGGCCUGGCGCGUAACCGAACCUCCGGGGAGCCCCGGCGGCGGCGACGCCCUCGGCAGGUGCCGGCACACCCGACCCCUGGCUCGCCGCCCAAAGCUAGUUCCCGAACCGGCCCGACCGCGCCCUAGACUAGACUCGGCGGCAGGUACCUAAAGAGCGAACCGACGUAGAACGAAUCCUAAACCAUGAUGGAGGCAGGACAGGACCAGCGGUACCAGCGGCUGGUCGAGGAACUAGUCUUGCACUACCGGCGGCUGCUCGAGGCACUAGUCUAGUGCGACCGCGGGCUCUUUGAGGGACAAGGAUUGGGUCGCGGAAGGCGGACGAGGUGGUUGUUGACAGACGCCCCCGAACGUGUCCAAAGCGGUAUAGUAGAACCUAUGACACAAACUCCUUCAACCGGAAGGUAGUCGACGGAUGAGACGUGGCUCGAGGAGAAGGUCAAGUCCGUUGUGGUACCGACUACCUAGGAGGCGUUACCGUUGGAGCAAGCACUUGCAGGGCUAUCUACUACCCGACGACUAGUUCUUGGAAGGAGGCGACAGAGGUUAGGUGCAGUGGUAGUCGUUCGUUAAGUAAGAACUUGCUCGUUAACUUUGUUAACCACCGUGUGAGGUAGGUAAGUGAAAAUGGCCAUGUUCGUCGCUACUACAGCUGCAGAGAGAGAGGUAACUGGAUGGAGGGGUGUCGUUUUCGUACAGUUCGUGUUCUUUCCUUAAGGUACGGGGUGUGUAGCUUAGAUGUACACAACGACGGGAGCGCAUGGAUGUCUUUUGUCCAUAUCAGUGUUAGCUACUACGUUUGAAACGUCUCGACUUUUAUACGUUUUCCUUUGAAGUCCGACACCUCAAGACCAGGAGCUGAGAGAUACUAUUCCGGUUACGGGACCCGUUGGUCGAGAGAAAUGACUGACGGCGGUUCGUCUUUGGGGUCGGACUCCUAUUUGUUCCUCGACGACACAACGGAGGAUUGGUAGUAUUAUGAGGUGUCUGGUCGGUCUUUCACGAAAGGCUCGUACGGUGACCUUCCCUUUGGUGUAGUUGGGGACAGUGUCUUUGUUUGUUAUCCAAGCACGCUCCAUCAGGGAUACUUCAUGUAGCUGUUCGACCUACCUAAUGCCGCGGAUAAUCAUACGAAUCAUUAUUACUGAGGAAUCAACUGUUACAAAUAAUACAAGGACGGGAAUAAUGGAAGAGAAUACACAAGAGCGAAAACCAUAACUUGGACUACAGUUUACCGAUAGAAAACACCAGUACAUUUGCGUGGUUCAAACUAAGACGGAAUAUUUGGUUACAAAUAGAACACGAGGUAGCACGAAAUAAAAAA
rnacentral:rRNA from 1 species